rnacentral:lncRNA from 14 species
UCAGUUUAGUGAGUGCUUACGUCCUGCAUAAUGUACUCAUUGACAAUAAAUACAUUGUAUUCUACUCUGGCAGCAAUACCGAGCUUAUGUGGCCUUCCCAGACUUUUUCCGUAAUUCAACUGCCCUCUGGUGGAAGAAUGAGAUUAAAGAACUCCACAGCAACUCACAGGAUCCUGCAAAGAGCUUGAAGUUUGAUGGCCUGUGGAUUGACAUGAAUGAACCUUCCAGCUUUGUGAAUGGGGCAGUUCCUUCCGGCUGCACUGACACUACUCUGAACCGUCCUCCCUACAUGCCACAUUUGGAAGCCAGGGACAGGGGCCUGAGCAGCAAGACCCUGUGCAUGGAGAGUGAGCACAUCCUUCCAGAUGGCUCCCGGGUGCGGCACUAUGAUGUACACAGCCUGUAUGGGUGGUCCCAGACCAGACCCACCUAUGAGUGAGUGACCAUUCUCCUGUUGAUGGAAUGUGUAGGAGACAGUGAUGAUGAGUUUAUAUUCCCUAAUUUUCCUUCAUUUUCCAUACUAUGGGCUGAAAAGUAGUUUAACUAUACCUUUGUUGUAAUUUGUGGUUAAAAAUGAGAUGAAAGAUUUAAACAGUGUACAUCCCAGCUGUGGGAAAUAGUGGGACUGAAACCCACACAUAUGGGGAUACAAGCUCUUUCAACAAUGU